rnacentral:lncRNA from 1 species
CUCUGCAGCACCGCUGGCUGACUCCAGGGAUCGGGAUCGUCGGAGGUCCUACCAGAUGCCUGUGCGUGAUGAGGAGUCUGAGUCUCAGCGGAAGGCUCGCUCCCGCCUUAUGCGACAGUCUCGGAGGUCCACACAGGGUGUAACUUUGACAGACUUGAAGGAGGCAGAAAAGGUGGCCGGAAAGGUCCCAGAGCCAGAGCAGCCUGCCCUGCCCAGCCUGGACCCUUCUCGGAGACCUCGGGUCCCUGGAGUGGAGAACGCUGAGGGCCCUGCCCAGAGAGCAGAGGCGCCCGAAGGGCAGGGCCAGGGACCACAGGCGGCCAGGGAACAUCGAAAAGCUGGCCAUGAGCGGAGGGGGCCGGCAGAGGGGGAAGAGGCGGUGCCUGCGGAACGGAGCCCAGAGUGCAGCACUGUGGAUGGUGGAUCCACGGUCCGCAGGCAGCGCUCACAGAGAGACCUCAUUC